UCGAGAGUUUAGGACCCUGGGUUGGUGGGGUCAGGAGGAGCUGGGGGCUACUUGCUCCGGGACAGCUGGGCCUGCUGGGGUGCUGGGCGCCUUGUGUGUGGCCCCCAGAACAGUGAGUUCCUCCCCGGGGGUAGGGAGCCGAGGGCUGCGGGCAGGAGGAGUGGCCACUGCAGCACCCAGGCUGCAGUGUACGCCCGGAGAGGGAUCCCGCGGCUGCGAGGGGCCGAGGCCCAGCGUCUCCCCGCCGCACCGGCCACCGCGCUGCCCUCGCCUCCCUCGCCUGCCGGGUCCCUUAAAGGAGCUUGUUGAUCUGGCCUCCUGGAACUUCAUCCCACAGUGCACCCAGCGUCUGCCCCUUGCCAACGGGUCUUAAAGCUAAGCUGCAGGCAGUGCGUUUUCUUUGGAAGAUUUUCUAAUCUAAAGCACGGCCCCAUCCUAAGCCCGUCUGCUUCUAGGACAGUGCAAACAGCCCUUCUCUGUGGCGUGACAUCUAAGGGACAGCCUUGUAAUACCAUUUCUGGCCUGUAUACCGUUUGCUUAACCGACUGAGCCACCCAGGUGCCCCUCCCUGUAUACCAUUUGCUACCGUUUUGCUGAGCCAGUGCUGGGGGCCCCUACUACCAGAGUUAAUAGUUUCUUAGCAGGGAAAAUGGUGCACGGGUUUCUGUUCCCCAGCCUCUUACUUCGUUUGUAAAGACCUUGGUGGAAAUCUGUAACUCAGACAGCAAAACGUACUACUCCAUUUGAACAAGUUUUCCUUUUAGGUGUAUGGGGUGCCCCCCUCCCCUACUCAAACGCUAGGGCUGUUUGUAAUUUAGACCAGUUUCACUUCUUCCUGUAACAAAUCCCCGGUUGCUGAGGACGCUUCGAGAAUGCUCCUCUGUUUGGUACCAUGUCUAGAGAUACAAAUCUAAAAAAAAAACAAACACAGUGUUUUCCAAAAUAAAGGCCCUCUUUGAGAUUGUAGUUUGGGAUCACACCUAGCUCUGCUUCCUGCUGUAGUUUUAUUGUAAUAGGAUUUCUGACCCCAAACUUGGCUGUGCCCACCACUGAUGGAGCAAGAGCAAAAACUGUUGAUCUCAGAUUCUAGUGGCUUCACGGAGAGGGAGAGUUUGAAAAGCCCUUUUCCAGGAGAUGCAAGUAAGAAUCAUUUGGAAACUGUACAACACAAUAACGCCAAGGCAGAUAAAGAGAGCGCCUCAAAACAGUCUAAGAGAGAUGGCCCACAAAAUUGUAAGCAUGAGGAUAUAGAAGAAAGUCCAUCGAUGUGGUCCCAAGGCAAUGAGAUCUGGUGCAGUGAUUCCUGUGAGAAGGAUGGCAAGUCAGAGAAUCAGGGAAAUUCUGCAGGAGAAGAAGAAGAAAAACCCAGUCACUGGGGAUGGGCUCCCGGGGAACGCCGCAGUGCCUCUGUCCAGCAGAAUUCGACCUCCAGGGACAAACCCUACAAGUGUGCUGAAUGUUGGAAAAGCUUCAAUAACAGCUCUCAUUUGCGUAUUCACCAGAGGACGCACUCAGGAGAAAAACCUUAUAAAUGCUCUGAGUGUGGGAAAUGCUUCAGUAACAGCUCUCACCUGAUUCAGCACCUGAGGACACACACAGGAGAGAAGCCCUACCAGUGUGGCGAGUGUGGGAAAAGCUUCAGCAAUACCUCCCAUCUAAUCAUUCACGAGAGGACUCACACGGGAGAGAAACCCUAUAAAUGUCCCGAGUGUGGGAAGAGCUUUAGUAGCAGCUCCCACCUUAUUCAGCACCACAGGUCGCAUACCGGCGAGAAGCCCUACGAAUGUCCCGUGUGUGGGAAAUGCUUCAGCCACAGCUAUGUCCUCAUAGAACAUCAGAGGAUUCACACGGGAGAAAAACCUUAUACGUGUCCUGACUGUGGAAAGAGUUUUAGUCAGAGUUCUAGCCUGAUUCGCCACCAGCGGACGCACACGGGAGAGAAGCCCUACAAAUGUCUCGAGUGCGGGAAAAGCUUCGGUUGUAAUUCGACUCUCAUAAAGCACCAGAGGAUUCACACAGGAGAAAAACCGUAUCAGUGUACAGAAUGCGGCAAGAGCUUCAGUCGAAGUUCGAACCUAAUCGCACACCGGAAAACACACGCAGGAGAGAAGCCCUGUGAAAGUCCCGAAUAUGAAGAAAGUUUGAGUCGGAACUGCAGUGCAAUAGAAGAGUGUGGACUCCAGCCUGGGGAGAAACCCUACAAGUGUUGUGAGUGCGGAAAGCGUUUCGGUCUCAGCUCCCAUCUCAUUAGACACCAGAGAACACACACAGGAGAGAAGCCGUACAGGUGCUCGGAGUGUUGGAAAACUUUCAGUCAGAGUUCCACCCUGGUGAUUCACCAGAGGACGCACACGGGAGAGAGACCCUAUAAGUGUCCCGACUGUGGCGAAGGCUUCAGCCAGAGCUUUAAUCUCAUCAGGCACCGGAGGACUCACGUGGGAGAGAAACCUUACAAAUGCACCGACUGUGACAAGUGCUUCAGCAGAAGUGCCUAUCUCACUCAGCAUCGGAAGAUGCACCUAGAAAAGUCUUUCGAGUCUCCCGAAGUCAAUGAUUUUCCUCCUGGGUGGACUUGGAAAAACUGUCCAGGGGAAAUGGCCCUCAUCUCUUCCUUUUCAGUCCCACGUCCAUCUUCCUCUUGAGUCCCAAAGCCUGUUUAUUAUUAUUAUUAUUAUUAUUAUUAUUAUUAUUAUUUCUUUUCUUGCUGGAUCAUUACAAUUAAGGUGUUGCUACAGAGUUUCUUUGGUUUGUUUGCCAUAAUGUCUGGAAAAAGUCAAGCUCCCAGGUUGGAGGAUGGGAAGGCCCUGAUCACCAGCUCAUUGUAUCUGCCCAGUGGGAGAUGCUUCCAACGAUGGAGAAGAAAUGUUUUUUGAUUUAAGCUGAGAGUCACUUUGGGAUGAGUGAUUCUAAGAACUAUUUGGAUUUUUCCUCGCGCGGCCUCAGGCCCGAUUCCAGUAGAGGGCGCUGGAAGCUGCUCGGAGACCCAGGGAUGUGGCCUGAGGCCCAGAGCCUGGGAGAACCCAGAGGAAAACUGGUUGAUGAAACGGCUGGCUACUUAGCUCAGUGUCUCCUGUCACCUGGUUCAGACAAUGAAGUGCACCCCAAAUCUAGGAGACGAAGGUAAAUUCAGGUUUGGUAAAUGGAGAAGUAUCUUUGUGUUUGUAAAAUUGAUGCUGAGGAAAAAGCACAUUGGAAACUUAGGAAGAUACCAAGUUAUACUGCUCAGAAGACUAGAAUCCUCAUCUUUCCCAUCCUGCUGUCAUCACUAAUUCAGUGAAAAACUUGUCAGCUGCAGGGAUUGAUGUUUUACUAAGGGAAAAAACAGCCAUACUGCGGGGGUUGGGGGAUGUAAGGUGUGGUCGGUCAUUGCCAUUACCAGAGGUUAUACCUGGUUACUCCUAAUUCUUCAGACCUCAGCUUAAACGGAACCUCCUCUAGUAGGCACUCCUUGACCCCUAGGCCAGUUUAUAUCUUGUUACCCUCCAGUGCAACAUGUACUUGCUCGUUUUUGGACACGUAUCACAUCCUUAAUUACCUGUAUGCUGCUGUCUUCUCUGUUAAACUCUGAACCCCCCAAAUGACAAGUACUAUGUCUGUUCAGUGCUUUACUCCCAACACCAAGCACAGUGCCUGACACAAAGUAGACACUUGAUCCCCAUGUAGUACAUUGAAUUACAUUGAUGUAUACUCCUUUUAAGUUUAUUUUGAGAGAGAGAGAGUGCAAGCAGGGGAAGGGCAGAAAGAGUGAGAGAGAGAGAGAAUCCCAAGCAGGCUCUUCAUUGUCCGCACAGAGCCCUGCGUGGGGCUUGAUCUCGUGAACAUGAGGUCAUGAUCAUGAGAUCAAGAGUCAGAUGCUUAACCAAUUGAGCCACCCAGAUGCUCCGAAUAUUGAUGUAUAUUCUUAAUCAUGGCUUUAUGAGCAGUACUAAGAAUAAAAAGAAAAUGAAAAAAACAAAGUUCCAAAUUCCAACUAGAAUUUGCAAAAGAUUACAUAAGCACUGAGGGGAUGCAGAACAAGUAAAUGACUGACAUUAAAAGUCUUUUGGGGGGCGCCUGGGUGGCUCAGUUAGUGAAGGGUCCGACUCUUGAUUUCGGCUCAGGUCAUGAUUGAUGGCUUUGUGAGAUUGAGCCCUUUGUGGGGAUCUGCCCUGACAGUGCAGAGCCUGCUUGGGAUUCUUUCUGCCCCUUCCCAACACAUGGGCCUGCAUUCUCUCUGUCAAAAUAAAUAAAUAUUUAAAAAAUUAUUUAAAAAGAUUUUUCAAAAGUCUUUAUGGGGGUGCUGGGUGGUUCAGACGGUUAAGUGUCCAACUCUUGAUCUCAGCUCAGGUCGUGAUCUCAUGGUUUGUGAGAUCGAGCGCCAAGUCAGGCUCUGAGCUGACAGUGUAGCUCCUGCCUGGGAGUCUCUCUCUCCCUCUGUCUCUGCCUCUCUCAAAAUAAAUAAACUUAAAAAAGAUUUUCUCCCUCUGCCCCUCUCCUUCACUUGCACUCUCUAAAGUAAAAAAAAAUAAAGUCUUUAUGGACGGGUUGGAUGGUGAGCAAGUAGCUUUAGAGGGUUUUGAUCUAAUGUGUUACAAACAAAAACAUAAAUGAAAAAGAAAUUGCUCAGUUUGGUACCCCAAAAAAGAGGGGAUAUAAAAUGAAGAAAGGAAAGAUUGUACUUAAUAUGUUGAGAAAAUGCUUACUGUAUACCAAGUGCUGAGUAUACAACUAUGAAUAAGACAAGGUCCUGGCCUUAAGGAGUUGAAUCUCUUGAAAAAGUUAUAUGUAAAUUGACAAUUACGAAUCGGUGACUGCUAAGGCAAAGAGGUGGAGUUAUAAAAAAACAUGAUGAUUAAUGUGGGUCUUGGGGCGCCUGAGUGGCUCAUUUGGUUAAGCGUCCGACUCUCGAUUUCAGCUCAGGUCAUGAUCUCAAGGUUCGUGAGUUUGAGCCCCAAGUCAGGCUCUGUGCUAAGCAGUGCGGAUCAUGCUUGGGAUUCUCUCUCCCUCCCUCCUCUGCCCCGCCCCUGCUCUCUCUCUCAAAAUCAAUAAAUACACAGAAAAAAUCUUUAAUCUGGGUCUUUAAGAAUGGAUAAUUGAAGAAAGAAGGGCAAGGCUUUUUCUUGAAUUGAGAAUGACACUUGAAAAGGCACAAGUCUAGUCCUGACAUGCCAAACUUAGGCCAACAAGAAGAGGUGGCAAGAACAAAUGUGCUCUUUGUUUUAAUAACUAGAUCUUUGUAGGGUGAGAAAAAAAUGCAUUCUAGUCAAACAAUCCCGGAUUCCUGAACCAGAUUUUCUGGGCUUGGAUUCAGGCUCUGCUGCUUACUAGCUGUGUGACCACUUUUCUGUACAUCGUUCCUUAUCUGUAGCAUGGGGCUAAAAACAGUACCUUCCUCAUAGUAUGGUUGUGAGGACAAAAUGAGCUAAUAUAUGAAAAAAGCAUUUAGAACGCUGACUAUAAGUAUCAGCUCUUGUCGUGACUACAAAGUUUUUUUUUUUUUACACAAAUCUAACAUGGCACUUUAUUAAAAAGAAUGAUACACUCUGAUGAAGUUUUUCUGAAGAAUGGAAGGCUGAUUCACCAUCAUCAACUUUGUUAAUGUAAGAUUUCACUACACUAAAUUCACUACAUGAACAGAGUAAUAUAUACAUACCAGUGUAUGCUAAAAAGAUUUGAUUGUUAAAACUUUAAUGGAGAAGUUAUAAGCAAUUGCAAACAUCCUAUUGAAGACUGAAACAAUAGAAAUAAUCCCACUAAAGUCAAGAAAAUGAGAAAAAGAAUCAGGAGGCAUACAUAUUAGAAAGUGAGCCAAUCCUAGGCCUACCUGUGCUCAAAGCUGCUCCUGAAAUACCUCAUGCUUUGCUGUGCAUCAUAGGUAGGCCAGUCCCUGUGGGCUGCGUUUCCCAAACUUUCAACUGGUGGCCAGCUAAACCCAACAGGUGAGAGACCACUGGUGGGUGACUGGGCCAAGCGAGGGGAAACAAGGUAUUUCUCCCAUUUCCUCUCAGCCUCCUACAGCCUCUCUGGCCACAGCUAAGCCUCCUCCAUGACUUCUGCACCAGACAGGUCCCCCAUGCUUUCAGUUUCUUUGGGGUUACCCUGGUCCCCAAGGUGUAGUAACACCGCCUCUUCCUGAUUACAGAGUAUUUUUCAUGGAGUUUAUUCUAGUUUAUUACUUUCUCCUAGUAAGUGGCUGAUUUUGUGUCAUAUUUCAUUGCCUUAGCUUCAGGCCUGAGUGACAGAUUUUUAAAAAAAAUAAUUAUUUUUUGAGCACACGCAAGUGGGGGAGAGGGGAAGAGGGAGAAUCUUUUUUUUUUUUUUUUUUUAAGUUUAUUUAUUUGGCAGGGGGGAGGAGCAGAGAGAGAAGGAGAGAGGGAAUCCCAAGCAGGUUCCAUGCCACCAGUGCAGAGGCUGAUGUGGGGUUCCAGCCCAGGAACCAUGAGAUCAUGACCUGAGCCGAAGUCUGAUGCCUAACUGAGCCACCUAGGUGUCCCAAAAGAGAGUAUCUUAAGCAGGCUCCAGGCUUAGCUUGGAGACAUGGCUCAAUGUCAAGACCUUGGGAUCAUGACCUGUGCCGAAAUUGAGUUGGGCACUCGACUGAGGCACCUAGGUGCCCCAGUUUUUUGUUUUUGAAUAAGCAGAGCCAUGCCAAGAUUCAAACAUAGUUAAAUGAUGGUUGGCUACUUGAUAAGAAAAAAAAUCCACUUAUGCUAAUUUCAAGUAGAGGGUAAUCAAGUAACAUCCUGAUGAUACUGAAUUCUUAUUUGUAAGAGCUGCUAGAGCAUUCUAUCAUGUUAGCAAUAUAGGAACCACAAGCAGUUUAUUGAAGAAUUGUCUUUAGGAAGACGAUUUCCCACACAUUAAAUUGAUUUUCUUGA